rnacentral:rRNA from 1 species
AUUGAACGCUGGCGGCAUGCCUUACACAUGCAAGUCGAACGGCAGCGGGGGAGAAGCUUGCUUUUCCUGCCGGCGAGUGGCGAACGGGUGAGUAAUACAUCGGAACGUGCCCUGUAGUGGGGGAUAACUAGUCGAAAGAUUAGCUAAUACCGCAUACGACCUGAGGGUGAAAGUGGGGGACCGCAAGGCCUCAUGCUAUAGGAGCGGCCGAUGUCUGAUUAGCUAGUUGGGGGGGUAAAGGCCUACCAAGGCGACGAUCAGUAGCUGGUCUGAGAGGACGAUCAGCCACACUGGGACUGAGCCACGGCCCAGACUCCUACGGGAGGCAGCAGUGGGGAAUUUUGGACAAUGGGCGAAAGCCUGAUCCAGCAAUGCCGCGUGUGUGAAGAAGGCCUUCGGGUUGUAAAGCACUUUUGUCCGGAAAGAAAUGGCUCUGGUUAAUACCUGGGGUCGAUGACGGUACCGGAAGAAUAAGGACCGGCUAACUACGUGCCAGCCGCCGCGGUAA